GCUGCAGGGCAGGGGCAAUCUCAGAGAGCCCCAUGGCUGUGUUAAGGGAGUCUCCUCCCUGAAGUCUGUUCAGGGUGACGAAUGUGAGCAUGAGGAGGAACCUCUUUGGAGUGUUCUCCUUUCCCAGAACUAAUUGAGCUAGAAGACAGACGUCCCUGUGGAGCAAGUGAAAGCCUAUGAGAGGUUUGAUGCUGAUGCAGCCUGAUCUACCUGGUGCUGGCCAAAUGCAAGACAUGGGAAACACUAAGGCUUCCUGCUCCUCAGAGUCUCUCUGCUGAUUGGAUGAGCUGGGGGAGAGGCCAGUGACAGGUUUUGCCUGAGCAAACAAUGCAGGAUUUAGCUGUAAAACACAAACUGACAUCCGAUGAUAGACUUCAGAUAGAAAAUUAGAUCAGUGAUGUUAUUGCAUCUAAGUGAGGAAUGAAAGGGUGGCAGCAGUGAACUCAAUCAAUGAACUAGAAACUGCCACAUGGGAUCAGACCUAUUAUCCAUCAGAUCCACUGUGCUUUUUCUCAUCGAGGCGAUUACCAGAUGCUCCAGAGGAAAGUGAAAAUCCUCCCAGAGUAGACAAGUUUGGGAUAACUUGAUUUUCAUGAAGGACUCCGCCAACUCCUAAGAGUUAGAAAAUGGGACAGCACCUUCCAAUGUAAAUUGGCUGAUGUCACUAGGCAGUGGUUGAUCUGAUUUAGCCCCUCAAAAAAAAGUCGUGGAGAUUUUUGGUGCUUCAGGGGUGAGACUCCACUACCUGUGGAUCAAUGCUGUGGCGAUCGAUCCACUCAAAGUCAAUUUAGCAGGUCUAGUGAAGACUCACUAACUUGAUUGCCGAACGCACUCCUGUCAACUGUAAUACUCCACUGCAGAGAAAAGCUUAAGGUAGAUGUAUGGGAGAGUUUCUUCCGUCAACUCUGCACAGUGUAGACACCACAAUAAAUCGGUCUAAGUUACAUCGACUCGGGCAAUGGUAUUCACAUAUCUGAAGUUGUGUAAAUUAGGUUGACUUUACUCCAUUGUGCAGACUUACCUUCAGACGUUACAUUUCCAGUAAAGCAGCAUAUAUGGGUGAAAUCUCAUUUUGGAAACAAUGUACCAAUUUGCUCUGUGUGACACUCACCUAAUAAAAGACAGCAUUUGUGAACUGGGAUUGAAUGUUGUAGCAUGAGUAACUUGGAAACACCUUUUAUUGAAAGGAUCUGCCUUAGUCCAGCACAGAUUUUAUUGUCAUUGAUCCUUGCUGAAUAACUCAUCAACAAGACUGGGAUGAAAGUGCCCAGUAUAGUGACAGACAAAAACAGCUGUACCUGAGAAAAUGUGUUUUCUGGGAG